UGGGGAAUUUUGGACAAUGGGCGCAAGCCUGAUCCAGCCAUGCCGCGUGCGGGAAGAAGGCCUUCGGGUUGUAAACCGCUUUUGUCAGGGAAGAAAUCUUCUGAGUUAAUACCUCGGGAGGAUGACGGUACCUGAAGAAUAAGCACCGGCUAACUACGUGCCAGCAGCCGCGGUAAUACGUAGGGUGCAAGCGUUAAUCGGAAUUACUGGGCGUAAAGCGUGCGCAGGCGGUUUUGUAAGACAGAGGUGAAAUCCCCGGGCUCAACCUGGGAACUGCCUUUGUGACUGCAAGGCUUGAGUGCGGCAGAGGGGGAUGGAAUUCCGCGUGUAGCAGUGAAAUGCGUAGAUAUGCGGAGGAACACCGAUGGCGAAGGCAAUCCCCUGGGCCUGCACUGACGCUCAUGCACGAAAGCGUGGGGAGCAAACAGGAUUAGAUACCCUGGUAGUCCACGCCCUAAGCGAUGUCAACUGGUUGUUGGGAAGGUUCCUUCUCAGUAACGUAGCUAACGCGUGAAGUUGACCGCCUGGGGAGUACGGCCGCAAGGUUGAAACUC
rnacentral:rRNA from 1 species